rnacentral:tRNA from 1 species
AAGAACGUAGCGCAAAUGGCAGAGCAUUUGACUAUUAAUCAAAAGGUUGUAGGUUCGAAUCCUACCGUUCUUU